GAAAAGACUGACGGAGUUGUACCAGUGGGAAACUCAGUCCAUCCUGCACUUUCAGUACUAUUGACAUCAUAUACUUCCAGGAAUUCGCCUCUAAGCCCCACCUGGUAGGUCCAUAAAGAUGUUGUGAGAUUGAUAUCCCCGCUUUUGCAUCCUGUAAGCUUUAUCUGACCUUUAAAACCUGCCCCAUCCUUCUCCAAGAAGGCACCAUAAUUCUGCAAUCCCACCGUCUCAGAUAAUAGCAGUAUGUCGUUGUAUCCCUGAACCAGCUUAACAGGUUGAACCACCUUGAUCCAUUUGCCUUUCACACUACCUGCAAGCUGCCCAUUAACAAAAAUGCGAACAAAAUCACGCAUGCUAUCAAUAUCAAUUGUUGGACUAACAUCAUUUUCCUCCCAAAAUGAGAUGUCAUCAUCAGAAAUAUAUAUCCUGGUCAGAU
rnacentral:misc_RNA from 1 species